ACAGCCUGGAAAAAGAAGGGAAAACCUUAAAAUAAGAACGUGUCUCCCAGAAUUCAAAUCUAGGGAGUAUGGAUGGGUGUAAAACUGCUUUAAAGAAACAAAGGUCUCUGUUGUAACCCUGCAGGAUUGGACUCAGCUUCUUCAGACUCCACUCACAUCUUGUGUUAAGAAUGAAUUUUUAAAGACAAAGACAUUCCCGCAAUCCUUUGAAUAAAAUCAAAGUUCUGGACUAACUGUAAAAACAUGAUCAUGAAUGGCAUCCCAGGGAAUCUAAAGUGUCAUUUCCUCUCUAGAAGUAAGGGAGCACAAAACAUGCUAGAUCUCAUCAGAGAAGCCCUACUCUCUAAGAAGAUAAUGAUGUGAGGAAUGGAAUCCAGAUCUCACACAUACAAGGCCUGUGCUCUACCACUGAGAUAUCUCUCCACUUGAGUUUUAUUUCCUAUCUGUAAAUGAAUAGUUUGUUCAGGUACCUUGA